UAUAGAAAAUAUGUACUGAAGAAAGAAACAGCAUUUUUCCCUUGAAGAGAAGAAAACUCCCGUCUCUUUGAGGCAUCUAUUCAAGAAUGUUCUAGAAGGCAUGAACUACAUGCAGUCAAACCCGGAGUGAUUCAUCAUAAAACCGUUCUUAAACCGAACACGAACAUGAGGAAAAACGUGAAACUGAAAUGCAGCGAGAGAGAACCAAACACCCUGAGAACCUUCCAGUGUUAAACCUCUGACCCGUACGAAUACAAUGCGGCGUGGAGACGAGACGGUGUCACAGCUUUCACUCAUCACCGCUCAGGAAGACGACCAGACGCCAUCUGUAUAUGGAGACGUUAAGCAAAAGGUGAACAUCGGUGGUGUUGUCCGUGUCAGACGGAGGUGUUAAAAGCAGCCUUUUUGCCCCCGGAGGAACGAGGAGUUGAGUUUCGGGUUUUGAACGUGUCAGCACCUGAGAAACAUGACAAAUGGCUGAGGAGAAAAAUGCUGAGAAAGAAAGAUGUAUUCUGUCACAGUCUGACUUACAUAAUCAUGGAUUUAAACAGAGAUGUGUGUGAUAAUAAAGCAGGGUAAAGACUGGAAUGAAAAACGAUCUGGAGUUAACACUGUGACAGCUCAGAGACCUGCUCCAAAAGUCCACAGAUUCACAUGUAGAACAUUUCUUAGAACGGUUCCUCUGUGGUUCCUCUUAAAUUCCGUGUGGAAUUUAAUAACUGUGUUUGAAAAACACCACAGAAACUCUUUCACACUAAACAUCACUUACAUUGUGAAGUCUAAAUACACCGAUCAGCCAUAACAUCAUGACCACCUGCCUACUAUUGUGUUGGUCCAUCCUUUUUGCUGCCAAAACAGUCCUGACCCGUCCUGCACUGUGUAUUCUGACCCCUUUCUAUCAGAACCAGCAUUAACUUCUUCAGCAAUUUGAGCAACAGUAGCUCGUCUGUUGGAUCGGAUCACACGGGUCAGCCUUCUCUCCCCACGUGUCUCUGAUUCACCACUGUUCCUUCCUUGGACCACUUUUGAUAGACACUGACCACUGCAGACCGGGAACACCCCACAAGAGCUGCAGUUUUGGAGAUGCUCUGAUCCAGUGGUCUAGCCAUCACAAUUUAGCCCUCAAAUCUUCUCCAUUUUUCCUGCUUCUAACAUCAACUUUGAGGACAAAAUGUUCACUAACUGCCUAAUAUAUCCCACCCACUAACAGGUGCCAUGAUGAGGAGAUCAUCAGUCUUAUUCUCUUCACCUCUCACUGCCCGAUAUGUUUUCUCUAAAAUCUGAUCAGCUUUUUGCUAGUGUUAUGCAAUGCUAGGU